rnacentral:rRNA from 1 species
UACGUAGGGAGCAAGCGUUGUCCGGAAUCAUUGGGCGUAAAGCGCGCGUAGGUGGCCUCAUAAGUCCGCUGUGAAAGUCAAAGGCUCAACCUUUGAAAGCCGAUGGAUACUGCGGAGCUAGAGUACGGAAGAGGCGAGUGGAAUUCCUGGUGUAGCGGUGGAAUGCGCAGAUAUCAGGAGGAACACCAAUAGCGAAGGCAGCUCGCUGGGACGUUACUGACACUGAGGCGCGAAAGCGUGGGGAGCGAACAGG